GUUUAAAUAGUUUAAGAAAAAUUUAAGUUUGUGGUACUUAAGAUGUAAAAUUUACUUUAGACU
rnacentral:tRNA from 1 species